CCUACGGGAGGCAGCAGUGGGGUUUAUUGGACAAUGGACGCAAGCCUGAUCCAGCCAUGCCGCGUGUGUGAAGAAGGCCUUAGGUUUGUAAAGUCACUUUCAGUGGGGAGGAAGGGUGUUGUGUUAAUAGCACAGCAUUUUGACGUUACCCACAGAAGAAGCACCGGCUAACUCAUCUGG
rnacentral:rRNA from 1 species